UACGAAGGGGGCUAGCGUUGCUCGGAAUUACUGGGCGUAAAGGGAGCGUAGGCGGACAUUUAAGUCAGGGGUGAAAUCCCAGAGCUCAACUCUGGAACUGCCUUUGAUACUGGGUGUCUUGAGUGUGAUAGAGGUAUGUGGAACUCCGAGUGUAGAGGUGAAAUUCGUAGAUAUUCGGAAGAACACCAGUGGCGAAGGCGACAUACUGGAUCAUUACUGACGCUGGAGGCUCGAAAGCCGUGGGGAGCGAACAGG
rnacentral:rRNA from 1 species